AAUUCGUACCUACUCGUGUGUGUUGGAUGCUUGCCGAAGACAAUGUGCACUUAAUUGGUAAGUUUUCGCUAGGUAUCUGCACAAAAUGUAUAAAAACAUAUGUUGUUAUGGUAGGUAAAAAUUAUACAAAUUUAAUUUUUUUUGAUUUCAGGUGAUUCAAUAAGUUUUGUUUUAAUGUUUAUGGAAUACCGAAUAUUAUGCGUUACUGACUUGUUAUACCUAUCAAUAUUAUUCAUAUUUUGAUAACAACUACCUACCAAACUUGAUUUACAAUCAAGUUACACCAUAAAACUGUACCAGUCAUAUUUGUUCGUACUAAAAUUCAGCAUAUUGCUGAUCUAAGGUACUCUAAAUUAGGUAACUAAAAAUAUCAUUAGCUAGAUGAUUUGAACUUUGUUGGAUACGUUUAAAAAUCGUAUGCUAAUUUGCUAUCUUCAAGGACAACCAUAAAAUAAGGAUGAAACGGUAUGAUAAAAUUUCAAUAUUAUAAUAGUUAGGACAUGAUAACUAGGGUGAUUUGUUGAAGUAUUGUUUUGAAGUACGAUUUGCAAUUUGAAACAAGUCAAAAUAAAAGUAUUGUAUUUCAAUAUUUUAUUUGACGACAAAAUUAAUUAGGUGUAUAAUUAUUCUUAAUUAUUUUUUAUAUUUAGUAUUUAACUAUAUUACUCUUAAAGAUUUUUACUGUCUAUUUUUAAGUAAUCAAAUUGUUUCUAAAAAAGCUUUGACAAAAAUCAAGUUCAACCAACUGCAAGGAAAAACUAUGAAAACUAUUUUCAAAACUACAUACCUAUGUAUAUGUUUUAUUUUAAAUUGUUUUUUUCUAGUUAAGUUGAAUAAGAUUACAACAUCAAUCAUUUAAACUUAAAAUAUAGUUUGUUGUUAAAUAAUUUAAUAAAAAAAUAACAAAUAAAAAUGUAUAAACAUAUAACUGUGUAGUUAUUAAUAUUAAUUGUAACCAUAUUAAUGUUUAACUAAUAACAAUAAUAUUAUUUUUAAAUUAACAGUACUCGUGUAAACUAUAUGCUAUUUGCUACAUAUUUUUACUUAAAAUUAUACUUACCAUUGUAUUACAUAAUACUUAUAAUGCUUAAUACUGUUAGUCCUUCUAUAAAUGAUUGGUGUUGUAACCUCUUUAUUAUUAAAUAAUAAGUACAGUAGAAACACAAUUAACCGUCAGUCAUGGGACCGGGACUAUGACGGUUAACAGGCAUUUUUCAAUUAACAUGUAUGUUUUAUGUGUCUAUUGCAGACAAAAAUAAUAAUAAUACAAAAUAACAAAAAUUAUACCAUACUAAAAAAUACUAAACAAAAUAAUCUAUCAUCUUUUGUUUUUGUGAGGUAUGAACUUUUUGAGCAGCAAUGUUUCGCAUUUUUACAAAAAAGUAAUACGGUGACCGAUGACAAAUAACAAAGAGUGAUGGUUAAUCGAUUUUCUACUGUACUACUUAAGUAAUUAAUGUAAUAUUAUUAGCACUUUUUUGAAUUUUACUAUUGUUUAAACUGUGGGGUUAUUGAAGUGUUAGCUCAAAUUUUUAGAAUACCUUUCAUUCUUUAUUCAUAUUUUGCAGGACGACAAUUUUGAUUAAACUGUAUCAUUAAAUUUGAAAUAGACGUUUCAUAGUCCUGACUUAAAAUGAUAGUAAUAACAAUAUAAAAACUAGGGCCCGGUUUUUAUGUAAAAUCAUUGUAGAAUAUGACCAUAUUUACAUAUACAUAAAAAAAAAAAAAUGUAUCAUAUGAGAGAAUGUUUGUGCAUACAAAUA